CCCCUCCCAGAUUCUUGAGUUUUUGGGUGAGGGGCUGUAGGUUUGAUUACAGACACAUCCUAUCUGGAAGGUCUGUUUGAUGUAAGCUUCCUGCCCAGCAGGAGGACACACACACACACACACACACACACACACACAUAUACAUACAGUGCCUCGUCUUUGUAACCAAGGGGGGUUAAGAGGGGAGGUACGUGUUGUAAACUAUUGUGUGAACUGUAACAGUUUGUCAAUAAAGCUGCGAGGGAAGCUGCUCUUUGAAGGACUUUGGGCUGGAGACAGGUUAGGAGCGUGAGCUCCAAGAGCUGGUUCUUGACCAAAGGCCUCCCUUGCGCAAGUAAUCGAUCGAACACUGUUGCCUUGUUUUUCUUUCAUGGGAAUAAGUCCUGGAUACAGCGGGGUCUGAGUUUAGACCCAACAUUUAUUUGGUCCUCCGAGCCGGAUCCUAACACAUCGCAUUCACCGAGGAGAGGGAGAGGACGCCACCGCAGUCUGCUAGCAGCCAUCGUCUGGGACGAUUGACGAAAGCCCUGGUACUUUGCUUUGUUCCAGGCCGGACAGUUUGCGCCUGAACUCCCCUCGGGAUGGAUGGCGAUUGACGGGAACCAGAGACUCUUCCCAUGAACGGAAACAACACGAACAGUGAGUACAGAAGGCCUUAGAGAGCGGCUACGUGCCCGUGCGUUAAAGCAGGUACGUGAGUGCGCAAGCUGUGCGUGUAGACGCAAGCUGCCUGGUUUCUCCGCCAGUGUUUUUGUUUGUUUUUAAUCUUUUUUGAUUUAUUUAAGGAGGGUUAAGUCGGUUUCUCCACCGAAGGAGGUUUAAAGAGGUUUCUCCACCGAAUUGAAGGAGGGUAAGGACGGUUUCUCCACCGAAAGGAGGAUAGAGCUCUAUAAAGAUAAAAAAAGGUUCUCCGCAGUUAAGGGCGUUGAGUGUAUGGUUUCUCCACCAAUGGUAAGGAGGAAAGAGCUCGCCGCGGUAAGGGGGAUUAUAGGCCUAAAAAGAGUGUGAAUGAGCGUAUAUGUGUGUGAGUGCCAGUAAAGUGAACGCAGCAGCACAGAAGGAAACCUAAGUGGUGUUAACGGAUUUCGGUGACCUGUUAUGUACAUGUAGCCUGGGUUUUGGUGUAAGUCGCGUUGCCUGCUGCAAACUUAAAAGAAGUCGGCCUUGAAAGAGGAUGAAAUACACUGCAAAGUUUUUAUUGGGCAGCACGUGGUGUGUGGAUCGUUGAAGAAUGAAGUGAAAUUGUGCGCUAAGCAGAAGUGAGUGUGAGCGUGUCUGACGGCACGGUGUGUGAAAAGGUAUCCAGCUGGGGCAGACGUGAUUCUGCAGGUCACCUGCCCAGCGGACAAAGAAAUAAAAUAGUUGUGUGGUGAAUGAUAGCACGAAGAGUGUUUGGUGUUUCUCAGCCUGAAACAGCUGUAACGCUACUUUCUGUUUAUGAGAGAGAGAGAGAGAGAUGUGUGUUGUUUUAAGCAGUGAUGAGAAUAAUGGAAAUGUGAUGAGAGAUGAACACAAAAACAUACAGAAAAUGCAUCAACCAUACUAACCCUACAUGCAUACAUAAUAAAUGAUACUCAUGAAGACCAGACAGCAUCUUAAGCAUGAGAUUCUGUUUGUCAUCUUGUGCAAGUCACUAGUAAGAUGAAAGUGAUACAUAGACUAGUGGACUGAAUAUUAUAGGAGGACAGAUGACUGCAUCAUAGAGGAAAACAGAAUGCUGAUGAGGGGUUUUAAAUGAGUGAGCUGAGUGAGCUGAUUGUGAGUUUCUGGUGUGUGAAGAAGUUUUACCAUGGCACACAUUUGGUUAUAUGAGAAGAAACUUAUUAUGUGACGAGACAACAGGGUUAUGCUGUAUGUUGUGUGUGGCUGAUUGGAUGAAUGUUUGAGAUUGAUCUAGCUGUUGAUUUGUCUUUUGUUACUAAGUUGAGCCUGCCAAAUGGGUUGUUACAAUUUAUCCCCCUGGCAUGAAGAACACGUGUCAUGACUUAAACAAGGCCUUUCUUUCCUUUGCUUUCCUUUAUUUUAUUUUAUUUCUUUUUAUUUUGAUACUUUCACAGUGCACUGAAGGUUUCGUUUGAUGAUCUCUGUUUGAGCAGAGAUGCACAAUUAGAACAGAAGCGCUAUACGACUCGUCGUCGAGAAAACUGUUGCAAAGUGAGUUUCUCCAAAAAUUAAAAUGGGCUUGGGAGAGAGCCACUUAUUUGGGACAAUCAGAAAACAAGUCCCUGUCAAAACGGAUUCAGCGAGGUAAUCCAGUCUAAAUUAUUUUUCUUUUUUGAAUUGACGUCAUUGCUGGCAGUAGAAACUUGUUGCGUCACGAGAGCUUCUACUGUCACCAAAUAAAAAUGGGGAAAAACUGACUGACAAAAGCUGACAAGACUGACUGACUUAACACCAUUGUGUGAAGUUAACCCCACCUGACAAAGGUGUGGAUGUAUCUCUGUGUGUGUCUUCUGUUGCAGGAGCAGAAGGAGAUCACAGGAGGAAACUUAGGUCACAUGACUAUGUGAACUCUGCAGAUUUAACCUUUUAGUUUAAAAUUUUCUCUGUCUGUGAAUUCACCAUGGGUGCGUUAUUAACUACUUUGUGUUGCUCACAGAGAUUACUGUGAGAAAGAGUGUAUACAAAUGCGCGCAGCGCUAACAUUAACAUUUCUUUUCACAGCAGAUGGUUAAUCAUGUGAUUUGAUCAUGUGAUUUAUAGCAGGACACAUCUUAAUGUGUUUUUCUACCACAGGAUUACUGAGAUUUUGUGUGAAGAAAACUGUGGUUACAGGCUGUGUGUUGGUGAUUAAAUUAUACCGUGUUGGAGAAAAUAUGAAUGUUACAAGGGAGAAGUGAAUACAGUGUGACACUGUGUUUGAAACCAGUGUUACUUCUUUUUACAGCAUCUCUGGAAUCUGGAUGGCCGACGCCUGACCACCAGGAUGAACGUGUGUUUGGCUAAUGUUUGUUUUUCCUUAAGAGUGUUUGUAAAGGAUUCAGCACAGACAGACAAGUGACAAUUGAACAAAUGUGCAGUGGUUACAGAAUAGUUGAAUAUGGGGCUCAUUAGCUGGCCACUAUUGAGCUCACAGUGAUAAAAAUGAGUGGUGUGACAUUGCUUAAGGAAAGUCACCGAUUAAAUUGUGGAAUAAAUUGGGAUGAUUCAUGAUUUGGGACAAAUUAUGAUAAUAAUAGUGAUUUAAUGACUGGAGAAAACCUGCACAUGAUAUUUGUCUUUUAUGCUGAAUACCUUAUUACUCAUAUGAUCUAUAGUCGGUUGAAAAUGUGAAGUUUGAUGUAACAGAUUUGUCUUCCAGGAUACAGGCUCUAGGUGGAGCUGAGAGUUAGACAAGCUAAACAUUUAAUUGCUGACUAAUGUUUUACACAGGGUUACAGGUUGGAGUGAAGCUGCUCCAAGGGACAAACCCUGGAGAUUGUUUUAGGGAGACUGUGCAACAUUCUUGUACAUGUCUCAUUAGGGAGUUGACACAAGAGAGGAAGCCAUGUGGCGAGAGGAGUGUCAUUUUAAUUUGCAGAUGUCGUGAGAUGCCAUGACGAGAGAAGUGACUGAGAGGAUCGUCCACAAGAUGGAAGCUGAGGCCUGGAGAGAGUCUUCAGGAGGAUCAGAGAUCACCUUCAGCACAGAGAGCUGUGCUACUGGGCUUCCAGGAGAUCGUCAUGAGGAGACUCUGCACAGCAAAAUCUUAAAUAAGAUGAAAGACUUUCGACGUUGACGUUGAGGAAGACAACUAAGGUGUACGACGUGCUCUGCCUUUAAAAUCUUCAGCAACGUUGAACCAUGAGAACUUGAGGGAGCGUGCCAAGCUCCAAAAAGUGACGGCGCAGAGGAGGUCCAGCGAUGGACUUGUGGUUCUGUGAACAGCACAAAUGCCAGGAGCAGAGUCUGAAGUCUGGAGAUUGGACGUUGACAAGGCCAUGGAGAGGAAGUGCUGGUCCAGUCCACGGUGGGAAGGUCCCUAUCGGGUGCUGCUGACGACGACCACAGCGGUGAAGAUUGCUGAAAGGAGUACUUGGAUACAUCAAGCGCACUGCAAGAAGGUGACGCACAUCCAGGCCAGCUCGGGGUAAGUGGCAGGAAGACCGGGUACAAAGGGGGGGAAAGCCUCCAGGGCCCCUCGUCUCAAUCCGGUGAAGAAACCAACUGAGCCACAGGUACUCAUCAGAAUGGCUGGGAAUGUGCUGUGCGCCUUCUUGUGCCUGUGGACCCAGAGUGGGAUGACAGGAAGCGCACUGGGACAGAGCAAACCACACCCAGUACCCGCAUGGGGUUUUCAACAACUACUGGUGGCAGUUUGUGAACACAACCGCUCACAUAAAGAACGAGACCAAUGGCUAUGCUUGUGAUGCCACUGGUUACACAUUCUUCUGGACUGUGGCCAUAUAGCAUCACUGAGAGUGAGACAGUUUGUUGGUUGCCGUAGCAACACAUCCAGGAGUAAACGUACUUGGAACACUGCCAACUUUUCAACUUCUGAACCUGAAUGGACGGUUGAUUCACCAGUAGCUGGGAAGGUGAACUGCUCUGGUAUGACAGAUCUGCUAGUCUGACUCCAAGAAUCUGACUCGCUGCAGGACAUUGAACAGCUAAAUGAACUGGAAAUAGGCCAGUUGCCUAUGUGUAUGAAGGGCAAUGGAUUAGUCCAAGUUGGAGAUUUACCAUGAAAUUUGUGCAACGUCACCUAUUCUUUGUGUCCUCUGUGAGAAGGAUGCAAACAGAGAAGCCUUUUGUCUACAUUUACAUCAUGAACACUUCUGUAAGCUGGUUGAGGUUUUGAGCCAAGAAGAUCAAAACAGCUUGAUCCAAUUUCCUUUACAAAGCUUUUCCUGUGGUGACAACAGGACAGGAGAAGAGUUGUGAAUGCAGAUAAUACACCAGUUGACUCUAACCCCACAGGAUGCCCACAGUGAGAAGGUUUGGGGGUUGAUAGGAGUCAUAAAGAAGGGUGUUGACCAGGCUACAGCUUUGAAGUUAGCUGAGAGCCACAUGGACAAACAAUAAAGUCAACUGAUGUGUUUGAAUGUCUAUGUCUGUAUACAGUUGGAUUGUAGUGACAUUUGAUUUUUGAGUUUGUUGAUUCUUCUUGUUUGACUGUGACAUUCAGUUGUUUACUUGCAGGAAUACAUAAUGAAUCGCACGACAGGAGUAGAUGCACCACAAGGCUGGAGAGCUUGGUGAAUGUCUGGUCCUUGGUGGCAUCUUCUUUUGAAAAUAUUAACUCUUGUUUUGGACUGUUGACACUUGAUUUGCUUAUGUAUAGGAUGCAUUUUACCGUGUAUAAGAUCAAUGGGAACUAAGAUGAUUUCUAAUACAUUUGUUGAUUAUGUACCUUUACAACAGUAUGAAUUGACUGAAAUGGAUGAUAUGACAGAAGCCUGUGUAUAAAUGACGCCUGCGCUGAAAUUGUCAAGCAAGAGGUGCAUGACUAAGAAUAUACUACACAGGAAUAAUUUGGAGCAUAAAAAUCACAAAACAGGAGGGAAUGUUAGAGUGAAUUGUUAAUGUUCGUCAUUUUUAUGCUUGCCAUCUCUACAUUGUUUAACUGUGGGAUGAAAGCAGUUCCACAGUCCCCCUCCCCAGAUUCUUGAGUUUUUGGGUGAGGGGCUGUAGGUUUGAUUACAGACACAUCCUAUCUGGAAGGUCUGUUUGAUGUAAGCUUCCUGCCCAGCAGGAGGACACACACACACACACACACAUAUAUAUACAUACAGUGCCUCGUCUUUGUAACCAAGGGGGUUAAGAGGGAGGUACGUGUUGUAAACUAUUGUGUGAACUGUAACAGUUUGUCAAUAAAUAGCUGCGAGGGAAGCUGCUCUUUGAAGGACUUUGGGCUGGAGACAGGUUAGG
ensembl:lncRNA